rnacentral:misc_RNA from 1 species
UCCUGUGUCUCGUGCCUAACGUUGAUGGAAGUUGACCCCGAAUGAGUCCCUAAUUUUCGCUUCUCACCAAUUCGUGGUGUUAGGUUGACGUGAAAGUACUGCCCAUUCUCUCCUUGAAUGCUUCGCCCUUUUGCGUUGCAAUCAAGGCCCAUGGGUUGCUACUAGGUCCCUCGGAUGCAGAACCUUUGAAGGGUGCACGGUAUGUUGCUGGUGUUUACCCACAAAGCGUUCAUCGAUUGAUGCGUAGGACGGCUGUGCCCGUCUUGGUCCCCUCUCUAACUAGUUUAGAUGGGGCUCAUGCGGUGCCGGCGUCGCGAAGGAAUGCUACCUGGUUGAUCCUGCCAGUAGUCAUAUGCUUGUCUC